ACUCCGGAGACGGCGUUGGUUUUGGGGUGUGGGGGGUUGGUGGCACUAUGUGGCGCGUCUGUGCGCGACGGGCUCAGAAUGUAGCCCCAUGGGCGGGACUCGAGGCUCGGUGGACGGCCUUGCAGGAGGUACCCGGAACUCCACGAGUGACCUCGCGAUCUGGCCCGGCUCCCGCUCGUCGCAACAGCGUGACUACAGGGUAUGGCGGGGUCCGGGCACUGUGCGGCUGGACCCCCAGUUCUGGGGCCACGCCGCGGAACCGCUUACUGCUGCAGCUUUUGGGGUCGCCCGGCCGCCGCUAUUACAGUCUUCCCCCGCAUCAGAAGUUCCAUUGCCUUCUCUUUCCCCCACAAUGC
rnacentral:lncRNA from 1 species